UAGAAAAGCUGGCUGAAAGUAUCUUUUGGUGCGGUGCGGUGCGUGGGGAGUCUUUUUGUUAGAGCAGGCCCAGAAAAAUAGAUGUGUGAUUAUCUCUUUCCAGGAUGGAAUGUGGAAAGAGUGAACGAUGGACACCAAAUCCCUAUACAAGAAUGGAAGCAACUUGGUCCCAUGUGAUCCAGCAAGUGGUGGAAAGCUGAUCUGAUAAAACAGAUUUGAGGUGCAAUUCGAAAGAAAAGCCAUAACUGUAGAUGGUGAGAAGGCUGCACAUGGGGAUGCAUGUCCAAAAUAUCUCCUUGUAACACCGGAAUGCAAGAGGAUGGGGGCCUGUUUCCACGGAAUACCCC